AGAACUCCAAAAAUGAGGAACCGAGCUUGACUUGGGGGUGAGAUGAACACAGCAGUCAAGUCUUUAUAAAGUGUCACAUCAUUAGGUUUCAUGGUUGCAGUCCAGUGAAACUGAUGUACUUGAUUAGCCUGAUUCUUAGGAGCUAUGAAUUUCAAAGCUCAGGUGAGUAGAGUUAGGCCCAUAAAUCUUGGAAGAUCUAGGCCUGGGUGUGCUGCUUCAG